rnacentral:rRNA from 1 species
CGAUGAUACGCGAGGAACCUUACCUGGGCUCGAACGUAAGAUGACUGUAGGUGAAAGCUUACAUCUCUUCGGAGCAUUUUACGAGGUGCUGCAUGGUUGUCGUCAGCUCGUGCCGUGAGGUGUCGGGUUAAGUCCCAUAACGAGCGCAACCCUACCUUUAGUUGCCAUCAGGUAAUGCUGGGGACUCUAAAGGAACUGCCUACGCAAGUAGUGAGGAAGCGGGGAUGACGUCAAAUCAGCACGGCCCUUACGUCCAGGGCUACACACGUGCUACAAUGGCCGAUACAGAGGGCAGCUACCUGGUGACAGGAUGCAAAUCUCCAAAGUCGGUCUCAGUUCGGAUCGGAGUCUGCAACCCGACUCCGUGAAGUUGGAUUCGCUAGUAAUCGCGCAUCAGCCAUGGCGCGGUGAAUACGUUCCCGGGCCUU